GACGAACGCUGGCGGCGUGCUUAACACAUGCAAGUCGAACGGAAAGGCCCUGCUUGCAGGGUACUCGAGUGGCGAACGGGUGAGUAACACGUGGGUGAUCUGCCCUGCACUUCGGGAUAAGCUUGGGAAACUGGGUCUAAUACCGGAUAGGAGCCAUCUUUAGUGUGGUGGUUGGAAAGUUUUUUCGGUGUAGGAUGAGCUCGCGGCCUAUCAGCUUGUUGGUGAGGUAAUGGCCUACCAAGGCGGCCACGGGUAGCCGGCCUGAGAGCGUGUACGGCCACCUUGAGACUGAGAUACGGCACCGACUCCUACGGGAGGCAGCAGUGGGGAAUAUUGAACAAUGGGCGCAAGCCUGAUGCAGCGAGGCCGCGUGGGGGAUGAAGGCCUUCGGGUUGUAAACUCCUUUCGCUAGGGACGAAGCUUUUUUGUGACGGUACCUAGAUAAGAAGCACCGGCUAACUACGUG
rnacentral:rRNA from 1 species